AAAAAAAUGGAUAUUGAAUUAUUUUUUUUAUUUACUUGUUAUUGGAGGAGGAGAGUCGGUUUACACGGCUUCGGCGACAGCAAAACCGGCGACGAAUUUUUCUCAGGCUGGGAGAGCGCAGUGGAGAGACAAGGCUGACGUACCGCUGCAUCAACUUAAAUGCACAACAUCUGCCUGGGAGCCGGUGACAUCAUGGCCCCAGACGAUGAAGUGCAGGACGACAUGCCAGAGGAUGAGGAGGGGGAGAACG